rnacentral:sRNA from 3 species
UUUUAGCCCCGAUGGGAGUGAUAUCCUUUUUCUCGCCUCUUUAGCAAGGAAAAGAUAUAAGCGAUCCCGAAGUUUC